AUUUACGGAGGGUUUGAUCCUGGCUCAGGAUGAACGCUGGCGGCGUGCUUGACCCAUGCAAGUCGAACGG
rnacentral:rRNA from 1 species